AGUUUGAAAAAACAAGUGACUGCGACGCCGGAAAUCGCAAUGGGUGCGUAAAAAUACGUGUCGGAGCUAUGGAGGAAUAAGCCCGUCGUCUCGGCUACAAGGCCAAGCAGGGGUUUGUUGUCUACCGUGUUCGUGUGAGGCGUGGUCUCGUAAGAGACUUGUGCCCAAUUGUAUCGUGUAUGGUGCUAUUGGUGAUGGUAGUGGCUGUCAGCCAACAGCCUUCACUAUUGGCUACUUCAAAUCUGUGAGGCUCGGAGAUGCUUACUUCGAUUCGCAAAUCAAGAAAUCUCCUUAAAGCAAAAGGAAAGAAAGAAGAAAGGAAAGAGAGAGUUGUACUACGCUGGUAGCUUGUUCAUCGGAGAGUAGGAAAAGGUCACCUAACUGAUGGAAUCUUCUUAUCUUCCAAGAUUCUUGGUGCAAAUCAAGAAACCUUCAAGAAAGAGAUGCUGCUUAGUCACCGCUUAUUCUGUCGAUUGCUAGUCCUUUAUUGUCUAUAUUUAUCUUUCUUCUACUAAAGAAACUCGGCUUCU